AGUGAACGCUGGCGGUAGGCCUAACACAUGCAAGUCGAACGGCAGCACAGUAAGAGCUUGCUCUUACGGGUGGCGAGUGGCGGACGGGUGAGGAAUACAUCGGAAUCUACUUUUUCGUGGGGGAUAACGUAGGGAAACUUACGCUAAUACCGCAUACGACCUACGGGUGAAGGCAGGGGAUCUUCGGACCUUGCGCGAUUGAAUGAGCUGAUGUCGGAUUAGCUAGUUGGCGGGGUAAAGGCCCACCAAGGCGACGAUCCGUAGCUGGUCUGAGAGGAUGAUCAGCCACACUGGAACUGAGACACGGUCCAGACUCCUACGGGAGGCAGCAGUGGGGAAUAUUGGACAAUGGGCGCAAGCCUGAUCCAGCCAUACCGCGUGGGUGAAGAAGGCCUUCGGGUUGUAAAGCCCUUUUGUUGGGAAAGAAAAGCAGCAGGUUAAUACCCCGCUGUUCUGACGGUACCCAAAGAAUAAGCACCGGCUAACUUCGUG
rnacentral:rRNA from 1 species